UACAUGGGGUGCAAGCGUUGCUCGGAAUUAUUGGGCGUAAAGCGCGCGUAGGCGGUUACGCAAGUCGGAUGUGAAAGCCCUCGGCUUAACUGAGGAAGUGCACCCGAAACUGAGUAGCUAGAGUACUAAAGAGGGUCGCGGAAUUCCCGGUGUAGAGGUGAAAUUCGUAGAUAUCGGGAGGAACACCGGUGGCGAAGGCGGCGACCUGGGUAGAUACUGACGCUGAGGCACGAAAGCGUGGGGAGCAAACAGG
rnacentral:rRNA from 1 species